AAAAAAUACGUUGAAUAUCACGGUAGUCUAGACAAAUAAAAAAUUGAAUGCUUGGAAAUGAUUUCCCAUCAAAUUGAGUUACUUUUCCAAUGUUCAAAAACUAUCAUUCAUCUUCUCCAACUUCAUAUCAUUAUUGUUCAUCAAAACAACCCUUUUUCAUGAAGAAGAUCGUCUCUUCCAUUCAUAUCAUUCUCUUCUUCAAUUUCUCUCCAAUCCACCCGUAUCAUCUUCCAUAAUUCUCCCAUUUGUCCAUCAAUCUUCGCAUGGAACUCGAUAAUGAGAGCAUAUUCCAUGGAAGUAGAGUCUUUGAAGCUCUUUGAACAGUUUCAAGAAAUUGGAUUAAAACCAUAUAAACUCUCUUUUCCUAUUGUGCUAAAGGUUUGUGGGCAUUGUUUGAUGAUUGGAGCGGGUGGGUCAUUGCAUUUGAUGUCUGUGAGGACAACUGUUUGAUGAAAUGCUUGAGAGGGGUAUAGUUUCUUGGAGUUCUUGAUGGUAGCUUAUAUUCAUUGGUAUGUAUAUUUGUUUGGCUCAAUUGUAAAAUACACAUCUGAAUUAUCAAUAUUAUGCCAAUUUCACAUCCCAACUAUCAAUUGUUCUAUGUAUUAAACAGUGUUUUGGGAGGCGAGAAGCGGAAAAAAGCGACGAGGGCUUGCUUCACAGAAGCGAGAAGCGUGAAGCGAAGCGCGCGCUUUUUAAAAAAAAAGCGACAUUUAGUAUAAAAACAAAAAAAUAUUAAAUAACUAAAUAGAGGUAAUAUAGUCUUAGAUUAAAAGAAAAUAGAUAGUCAAUAAUACUCAUAAGUAAUAACAUAUAAAGCAAAAAAUCAAAAACAUAAUUAAAUCACAAAUACUCAAACUCCUAUUCUUCAACAAGAUCCUCAAACUCUUCAAGUGCCAUAACCAAGGGUUAUAAUUGGUCAUCAUCUUCUUCAUCAUCAGAAGUGUCAAAAAAUAAAAAAAAGAGCUGCUAGCAUACA